CAUUCUGUAUUGAUGCAAAUACAAGCAACUUUUUUCUUUGUUUCUUCAAAUCAAUCAUAAGCAUGAAACUCUUGAAUUUAAGCACAGGUUUUCUCAACAAAUUUGGGUAGUGCAGGAUAGAAAACAGUAACAAAUUGGUGAUUAGAAUGUAGUUAUUGGAAUAGUAGUAACAGUCUCAUAGUUAUUCCCACUCUUGGAGCUUCUCACAGGCUAUCAUUUGUCAUUGGACAUUGAUACCUUACAAAAGGUCCAAAAUUACCUUUUUGUGAUAAUUACUGAAAUUCAAGAUUACCACUGCUGGAGAACUGAAACCUUCCUCUGUAUUUUCCUCCUUCUUUGUUUCUCCACAUUUUAUUAUGUAUGAAAUUUAGUUCUCUAUUUUUCUAGCAGAAAGCUCUGACUUUUUAUACCACAACAACCUUUAAUGUUAUUUUUCUGAGUAGUCAUCUACCCUGGAGAAGAAUGACGUGCCUCUCUCUGAAGACACAUUGUAUGUUUUCUCUCCUCCUUGCCUAAGAAAUUGCAGAAUAAUUUUUUCCUUCUCCAUUCUCUGUAAGAAAAAAAAGUCACUUAUAUUCUACUUUUUAAUUUAUUUUAGUCUCUUUUGAAAAAAAUAGACACUUAGAAAAUGUCGUUGGUCUUUAAAAAGGACUUAACGAUAAUAAAUUGGCAGUUUAGCAUUAUUGUAAUUGGUGCCGAAGGGAAUAAAAGUGAGUUGUGACUAGAUAACUAGGUAUUGAACUAAAGAAUGAAAAAUGAGAGAUGUGGAAGACAGUUUUUUUUUAAGUGGCAGUAUUUGACAGUGAAUUUUAUAUUGAGUUUACCAAUUUCUAUUAAAAGCUUGACUGAGGGGUUCCCAUCAUGGCUCAGCAGAAAUGAAUCUGACUAGCAUCCACGAGGACCCAGGUUUGAUCCCUGGCUUUGGUCAGUGGGUUAAGGAUCUGGCAUUACCGUCAGCUGUGGUGUAGGUCAUGGACGUGGCUCAGAUCCAGUGUUGCUGUGGUUGUGGUGUAGGCCAGCAGCUAUAGCUCCUAUUCAACUUCUAGCUUUAGAACCCUCAUAUGCCACGGGUGUGUCCCAAAAAGACACACACACACACACACACACACACACACACAAAAAAAAAACUUAACUGAAAAAGAGUCAAAGAGGAGUUCCCGUCAUGGCGCAGUGGUUAACAACCCUGACUAGGAACCAUGAGGUUGCGGGUUCGGUCCCUGCCCUUGCUCAGUGGGUUGACGAUCCGGCGUUGCUGUGAGCUGUGGUGUAGGUUGCAGACACAGCUCGGAUCCUGUGUUGCUGUGGCUCUGGCGUAGGCCGGUGGCUACAGCUCCGAUUGGACCCCUAGCCUGGGAACCUCCAUAUGCCGCGGGAGCGGCCCAAGAAAUAGCAAAAAGACAAAAAAAAAAAAAAAAAAAAAAAAAAAGAGUCAAAGAGUCUGAGGUCACUGAAAUCACCCCCUUUAAUAUGUACUUCUGCUUCCUAGGUCCAGGGUCCUGUGUUUUUUUAUCCUGAGUCUCCUCAGGGUGUGAUAUCAAGAGCAGCUGCAGCAAUUGACUGCUAGGUAGAUGGCCAUCCUGUCUCCAUCGUGAGUUCCCUUAGGGCUCACCACUGGGGACAUUGUAAUGCGAUAAUUUGAUGGCUGCAAUAUCCUUUGCUGAUAUGGCAGCCACUAUUUUUCAUUCACAAAAUACAGCAGCCUGCAAGGUGUAAUUUGGGUUCUCCAUGUGCAGGCUGAGUGUAGGAGUAGAUAGCCUUUGUUAUCUCUUUUCAAUUGGAUUCUAUCCUCCUUGCCUCCCUUAGAUUGUCCUUUGUUGAAGGUUGCAUAAUAGAUGAAAUAGUCAUGUUAAAUUCAUGAUUGUGUUUACAAAAAGCAUUUUUUUAGAAUUGUACACUGCAUUCCAUGGGAGAGUCAUAUUCUCUGCAAAUGCUGUCUGUUCCACCCACUGGUCUCCCAUAUAGGUCUAAGAAACCUUGCAUCAUCUGGCAUUUGACUUUGUUUGGUCCUGCUGAUGGCAGAAGGGACAUUUUCUCUGAACAAAACCAGUUAGUAAAGAAGUUGUGUGUCUGAAACAUGGUAACAUGAACUGUACUUUCUUCUGCCGACACCAGGAGACUUGGAGCUGAUAAGGAGAAGCUACUGAGGUGGGAAGCAGUACCAGCUCUGGUGAGUAGUUGCAAUGUAGACAUUAUCCUCAGGCAGGACAGGUGUGCGUGGCUUCAGGAUGUCUAUGAAGCACAUUUUUUUCAUGCAGUUAUGUUUGCAUGACAAGUAUGCCUUCUUUUUUUCCUGGAUGUGUCUUUCAAGUAACUUGAAUGUAUAUCACCUUCAUACCAUAAUUUAGCAUCUACCACUGGCUGAAUGGAGUUCUUACAGAGGUGGUAAUUAUUCAAGGUAUGGAAAUUUCCCUAAUAAUAAACCAGAUGAGAGAAUUCAAAGCCCCCCAAAUUCCCAAGCAACCAGAAUAUUAUCUUGGUGAACAAUUCUUUUAAUCCCACACAUAUAUCCCAGGAUACAUUUUUCCUGGGGCUGUGACAUUUUAUCCUGCUUAAUGUAUUCAUUUUCCCUUUCCCUUGAAAAGGCCCCAGGCUCCUUAUGUUAAUUAUUCCAUUCAGUUUCCAGAGCUCUGCUUUAAAAAUGUGGCAUGCUGAGUCACAAAAAGUCAUGUUUUACCCAUUCCUUAGGGAAGGAGACAUUCCUCUCUUGCAUUUUAUUUGAUUGAAAGGUACACUG
rnacentral:lncRNA from 1 species